CCACUCGCUGCAGAAGAAUGCUACGCCGGCAAUGCGUCGCUCUCAGCUACCAGCGUGGUAGCUGGGCCCCUGGGUCCAAGCACCAGAAGCACAUGUCACUGAAUCCCACCAUGUAUCUUUAUCGCUUUGCCGGUCCGCAUGGGCCAGGCCCUUAUGUCAUGAAGUACUGGUGGACACUGGGGUGCUUUCCCACAGGGAUCGAGCGACCGUUUCGCCUUCCUGAAUUUUUAGCUUCAUAUCAGCAGCAACACGUCCCUAUCGAAGUCGAAGAGUGGCUGCAGUGCUUCGUCAAGAAUCCAUACGAGGAACUGAAAGAUGCGACGUCCAGCCUUCUCAAAUGCCUCGAAGAGGUUCCUAUCAGAGAAAACACAAGGGGAUACCGGAGCAUUGAAAGUGGAGUCUCAAGCUUUGCUGUACCGUUGGCCCAAUUUGAAAGGCAGCUGAAUGUCCGCGUACCUUCUCUUGCAGUGCGUGCAGCACUCGGGUCACCCGCAUUGCGUGAGCGCUUGAAAGAUGACUUGUUUGAGUACAACGAGUCACUGAGCGCAUGUGGCAGUACUCCGCACCGGCGGUUGGCGCGCUUGGCUUUCGAUGAGCGACUGACACUUCCUGGCGCCAUCAACAACUCUGAUGACAGUGAGAAUCUGCGAGGGCGGAUUUCUUUGCCGAUGAGCGAAACUAUUGGCUCAUACGCUUCGCCGAACCCUAACACUUCCGACGAUGAAAAAAAGCUGAUUCGAUUGCUGACCACGUUUUCGGAAGGCUGUGCUCUGAAAGAGGACUACGAAAGCGCCUUCUCUCUCCUUUCUAGCUCUUUGAGCUUUUCUCAUGAUGACGACAUCGACGCCGUUGUGCAUUCUAAUGCAUCAGCCGCUGCCAUCCUUGGCGGUCUUUACAAAGAUGCGGAGUUUCACGGAAGACAAGCUGCGCUCUUGGAACCACAGGCGGUGCCGAGCAGAAAAAGUGGUGGCCGUGGAUAUGUCUUGUGGGCGACCGCAACUGCUUAUCAGGAGGACUUUGAUCGCGCUAGCAGAAUAGUUGAAAAAGGUCUGGAAGUGUUUCCUGACAAUACUGAUCUAAAAUCAAUACAGGAAAAGCUUGCGGGCGCCGUGCCUGCCGCUUCAUCAGCUUCACCUUUGAGCACCAGGAUGGUCCGUUCGAAGGGGCAGCAGGCACGGGCGCUGCUACACGGGAGCGGACGGUCUUUCGACAACGAGUUUGACUGGGUCGUUUUCAAGAAUAAGCUGUAUCCCAGCAAGAUGAAUCCUUCGUCGAACGAAAUGGGAUCAGUUUUCAGGCGCGUGGGUGAUUUUGGCGGUCACAUUUCGACCUCUCGUUCGCUAGAGCCUCUUUGACUCUUCUGUGUCGUUGCAGUGCACUGUUAACUCGAAAUGAGUCGCAGC
rnacentral:misc_RNA from 1 species